UUUAAUUUGCCAAGAAAAAUUGCAAGCUAAAAUAGGUCCUACUCAGUAAUUUUGUUCUUCUAGGCAAACUCUUUCUCCUCUCUUUCUACCUAAAGCUAAAAGCUAUUUUCUUCCCUUCCACGGGCCGAUAGCGGUACCAGGCUUCGUCACCUGCCUUCCCGCAUCAAGUUGGAACCAAUUAGGCAAAACCAUUCACUCAUUCAGAAAUUAUUAUGAACAGAAAGAAGUGCAGAUAUCCUCUUUAAUGGAGAAAAGAAAUUUGAAGGUAAUCAGAUCGGAUUUAUAGAAGGAUCAUGAAGUCGAACAGUGGCCAUGAAUAGCACCAAGUGGAGCGAGCGAUCGCCUAUGAUAUAAAUAUUAUACUCUGUCAACUCGAUUAGAUAUUUUAAAUCAAUAUUGUGUUUUUUUUCUUUGUAUAAGUAGUUUAUUAUUAGACUUUCUAUAUAAAAAUAUAGAAACAUAUUGAUCAAUUUCAUAUUUAUAUACAGUUUUCCUCGAAAUUUUAGUUUGAUUUAUUCUCAAAGUUCCUACUCUGUUGACUUGGACUAACAAGUCUUUUGAUGUUACUCCGAGUGGUUUAAGUACGAGGCUUCAUCACCUGCCUUCCCACAUCAGGUUGGAACCAAUUAGGCAAAACCAUUCACUCAUACAGAAAUUAUCAUGAACAGGUAAUUUUACUUUUCUUCUGGUUGUUUUUAAUGCAUUUGCUUUCCCCUCAAAGAAAAGCUUUGGAAUUGGUAAUAUUGCAAGUGAAUUAAAUGUAAAAUUUUGAAUAUUUAAUUUA